GUCCUUGACGUCCCAGGAGUUACUCUUGUGUGCAUGAAAAGAUACCCAGACUCAUACUUUGUGACACUACCCACCUUCUUGUUUGAGGGAAUAACUUUAUCUACUUUACAAUAAAUUCUACCUGUACUUCUGCAUGACCACCUAUGUAUCUCGAAUGAAUUCUUUCAUCAAGGGCACAAAAGAACCAAGGACCAAGGAGUGAGAGGCCCAUUCCUCACUGGAUCAGGAUUGAGCUUCCUGGUGACAGGGAACAUGAGCUCUGCUGCUUCCCCCGCUCUUGAAAGCCAAUUCUCCAUCACACAGAGGAAAGCGCAGGUGCUGCCUGAAUCUCAGUGGCUCAUCAGGGUUAAAAGACACACCCGAGAUGCAGCAUCCAGGGAGAAAGAGCCAGAUACUAAGGGAGAUGCCAAUCAGCCACCCCAGAGGGAAGACAGAAGUGAAAGCCCUUGGAAGGGCACUGUUUACAGGGCCCCUCUCUUCCUACCCAUCCACUGGCCAAGCUCCCUGCAGCUUCCUGUUGGCAACCCCGGCUCUCUGGUCCUGAUCCCUCUGUUCUCUUUCACCUUGGAUUUCUGGAGAAAUGAGAAGAAGCCUUUAAGGUUGACUCCCAUGUCCUGUUUAUACCACUAGGACACAACCCUGCCCAAGGAGAGGCUUGGAAGUUUACAGCCAUGUCCCAGGCAGCACUUAGCUCCUCAUCACAACUCAGUGAAUACUUGUUGACUGAAUAUCUGUGUAAGAACUAGCUUCUCCAUCAAUAAUGCAGGACAGAGACUGUGUCCCUCCUGUCCUGUCCUUCUGGCUUGAGAAAACCACAGAAGUGGCACAAAGCAAACCUCAAACACAAAGAGGUGCUCUUCUCUCUUCACCUUGCACACAGUCCCUCAGCAAGUCUGAGUUCUGCUUCCAAAAUACAUCUUGAACCGUCUUUACAGCUACUGGCCAAGUCCUAAGGCCUGCACCAUCUCUCCUGCUGGUCUCUCCGUCCACCUCUCUUGGGUUUUCAUGGCUGUCAUCUUCACCGUUGUGUCCCCAGGAUGGAGCACAGAACCAUUAACUGAGCACUGAGAACACUGCAGCUUAAAACAACAACUGUCCUUCGGGAGGGUGACCAGAGGCUCUGGGUGCUGAGUGAACCUGCUUCCAAGCUUUGUUCUAGAGCUGUCCUUGUGCCACAGCCCUGGCUCUGUCUCUGUCUUCAAAGCCAGCAGAGUGGCAGCUCUCUGUAUUUUUCUCUCCUCUCAGAAACCACUGAGUCUCUGGCCUCCUCCUGCACGUUAGGGCCGCUGCUUGUGAUUACCCUGGGCCACCUGCAUAAUCCGGGCUAAUCUCUCUACUUUACAACCUGCGGAUUUGUGCUUUUAACUCCAUCUUCCACCUUAAUUCCCUUUUGCCAUGUAGUUAAACAUAUUCACAAAUUCCAGGGAUUAGGAAGUAGGCAUCUUGGGAGACCAUUAGUCUGCCUUACUAAAUAUUUGGGGAAUAUCUGAAUAAAUAAGUAGCCAACUAGCUUGGGAGCUCUACAUUUCUUUUUGUGGCUUUCUGUGCUUGCCCAAGCCAGGUCACUGUUCAGGGUUUAUAAUUAUUCUGAUGAGCACUCUCAGCUUUCCUGAGAACAUAGGAUUUAGGGCUGAGCUUUUGCUUUAAUUAUCAGCCUCAAAAGAGGACGUGGAGACCCUGAAGAUACUAGGUGAAGAGAGACUUCAAGAUCUAAUUAAAUAUCUAAUAUUCUUUGGAAGGCUUGAGAUUUAUUGUUGGUGCCAUUGUAAUUGGCACUGGCUCUCUCAGAGUGAUAAAUGGAGGCAUGAGAAGCAUCUACACCUCAGGUGAUUCCAACCAGGCUGAUUAAUUUCUGUAAGGUUAAUACAACAAAGCUGAAGGCCAUGUAUUGCAAUCAAGCAGAGAGUGUUUGUUUCAACCUGGAUUGGAUCCCAAGGAUGGACUAGAGAGAAAAUAAGAAGAUAAGUACCUCCUGCUUCUACGAAUGGUGGUAUCCUCACCUCUGCCUGUAUCGAAGCAGGGUGUUUACUGAGAAAAGCUGCAGACAGCCAGCACCCUCUAAUGCUCAGCCUCCCCAAGGACAACACAGCAAAGACAUCCACUUGUGCAAAAUGCAUUUUUCUUCUCAGAAGAGACCUCGCGUUUAUCUGUCAUAUUGCAGGCUAUUUUUAGUGACGGAGCUUUCAAAACUGAAGGAACCCAUCUCCUCUCACCAGGCUCAAGCCCAGGGUUGCUAGGCAACAGGAGCAUCUGCCUGGCGGUUCUCAGCUUCCUCUCUCUAGAUAUUUAGCGCACUGGACCUUGGCAGAAACCAAACAUUCAAGGAAGGCCACUCAUGGGAAGAAAGAGCAGUGGCUUUGCCAUCUUGUCCUUUCAGAGUCUUUGCCUCACUUGCUUCCAGUUGUGUGGCCCUGGGCAAAUCUCUAUCUCCUGGGGCCUCAGUUUUACCAGGUGUGAAAUGGGGAUGCCAUUAGUAUCUAACUCCUAAGGUUACUGUGUGGAGAAAAUGUGAUUAUCUGUGGAAAGCACUUUGUGAUUUUGCAGAACAGUUGCUUUAACUUGCACAAAAUGAGCGUUAUACAAUUGAGUGGAAAGUUGAGAGAAUUCUGUUAACACUUGGGUGCUCCUUGACCUCUCGUGUUGAUUAGAAUUGACUGCAAGAUAGUUCUCCGUGAAACUAAAAAGAGCAGCAGUACUUCCUAACAGUUAACUUUUGUAAGCAGAGGAGUGCAAGGGCUCAGAACUAGUUUGUGGGCUUUUACAAAGCUCUGUGAGAUGCUGGUUUUGCCAUCUGAGCCCAGUGUAGGUGUCCUGAGCUGCUCUGAAGCUCAGCAAGGCCCAGGUGCCCCUGUGAGUGUUUUAGGGCAAAUGCUGCUGAAGUCUGGGGCAUUCUUCAUGAGCCACCAGCCAUGUCAUUAGUCCUCAUCCAGGGCUCAUGGCCUCAUGUGCCUGCCUGUGAGUGAGAACCAACUGCCAUUUCUGCAGAGUGCUUCUGUUUGUGACUUCUUUUACACAGUGAGACCACUUACUGAUUGCUCACUGUGUGCCUACAGAGUGCCAUUUGCUUUAAAAUGUUAUAACAUUUAAUUGUCACAGCCACCUCAUGGUUAUGACUCCAGAGAGGACAAGCCACUUACCCCAGUUACUGAGCUAAAACAUGCGAGACACAGUCUUGGUACUUGGGUCUGCUUAUACCAGAGUUUGUUUAUGUAGCCAGGGCCCCUCUCCCAGGUCUCACUCCCAGAGUCGAAGCCCCAUGGACAGGGAGGAUGGCCCUGUGGUCUCAGUCUGUGUCUUGCCCAGGUUCUUGGGUUGGAAGCUAGCUCCCAAUGUAAUGGUAAUUUGGAGUGGGAUUAGAGCCUUUAAGAAAGAGGCCCAGGAGCUUGUCACAUGACAAGCUGCCACGUGAGGACACACAGAAGGUACCUAUAUGAGGAAUGGCUUCUCACUACACACUGGAUCUGCUGGCACUUUGAUCUUGGACUUCAGCCUCUAGUACUAUGCAUAGUAAAUUUCUGUUGUUUAUAAAUUACCUAGACUUGAGCAUGGUGGUGCAUCCCUGUAAUCCUAGAACUCAGGAGGCUGAAGCAGGAAGAUCAUGAGUUCACAGCCAGCCUAGACCACAUAGAGAGGCCCUAUUUCAAACAAACAAAUAAAAACAGUUUGAGGUAUGUUGUUAUAGCAGUUUGAAUAAAUAAAAGCAAGUAAUAUUCUGUUUUUUAUCAGACAAAACUGAGCCUUAGAGAAAUAAAGUGAUCUGAUAUAGGCUACAGUUAAAAGUCAAAUUUUGGAUAUCUAGAAUGGUAUUUCUUUUGCUUUUUCAUCAUAGUCCAUUAAAGCACUGGAGAGAAACUCUUUAUGAAGGAAAAAGGGACAUCACUAUGGUCUAUACAGCAAGUUCACACUUGGUACAUUUUUUUUCUAUUUCCAGCAUUUGGUUAAAAUGCUGGAGUAACCAGGCUUGUCCAGCUGUCACCAUAAGAACUUUGGGAGCUGCAAUUCUCCCUGAGAUCCUGCUCAGUGAAGAUUGCUAUUCUGAGUCCCAGAAGGGCCUGUGACUGCGUUUCUAGCCAGCUCCCAGGCGGUAUCCUUGCUGCUUGUUUUGCUCCCAUUUGAGAAGCAACAUUUCAGAGGCCAAAAACACUUUUGUGGAUUGACCUACAAACUAGAACUAAGAGUCUAAGAUUUUCAUUUUCCUUUCCAUUUUUUUUUCUAUUGUGAGAAAGAACACAACUGGGAUUCUGAGGUUUGAAUGAAGACUCAAUCUCAGAAGAAGGUCUCUGAAAUUACAGUUGUUCAAACAGUAUCGAGGAAUGAGCCUAGAAAAACCAGAGCUAGGUGACUUUGUUAGUCACCUUUCCCAUUGCUGAGACAAAUACCUGACAUUUGCAACUUAAAUCAGCAUGGGUUUAGUUUGGCUAAUGGUUUUGGGGUUUCAGUCCGUGGUAACUGGCUCCAGGGCAGGAACAUCAUGGUGAAGGGUGUGACAGGACAAAGCUGCUCACUUCCUGGGGGCUGGAAGCCCAGCAGGGCAAGAGUGCCCAGGAGAAGAAUGCCCAGGAGAGACAGACCAGCCCAGCCCAUGCACCCCGGCACCCACCUCUGCCACCACCUGCACUUGCCGCUUACAGCCCAUUCAGUUAUGACCAUCAAUGGAUUAACCGUGAUCUGUCAUCCCUCCAGGAGUCUCUUGAUCCAGUCAGUUGACCAUUAAAAUUAAGUAGCACAGAGACGAUUGCUAGAAUUU
rnacentral:lncRNA from 1 species